rfam:Myotis brandtii contig173620, whole genome shotgun sequence.
GCCUGGGUAGCUCAGCUGGUUACAGCAUUGUCCUGAUAAGCCAAGGUUGCGGGUUCAAUUUCCAGUCAGGGCA